UUAGUUUUGGGUUUUGUUAGGUUUGAGAUUUGUUAGGUUUGGGCUUGGGUUUGGGUUAGGUUUGGGUUUGGGCUAGGCUUGGGUUUGGGUUAGGUUUGUGUUUUGUUAGGUAUGGGUUUUGUUAGGUUUGGGUUUGGUUUGGCUUUGAGUUAGGCUUGGGUUUGUUUUUAAUUUUGUUAGGUUUGUGUUUGUUUAGGUUUGGGUUAGGUUUGUGUUUUGUUAGGUAUGCGUUUUGUUAGGUUUGGGUUUAUUUAGGUUUGGGUUUGGUUUGAAUUUUGUUAGGUUUGGGUUAGGCUUGGGUUUUGUUAGGUUUGGUUUUGAAAUGAAAUGAAAUGAAACGAAAUGAAAUGAAAUGAAUUUUAUUGCAGUAAAUGUGGUCAUACAUAGUGAUGGU